AACCAACAGGGAUUGCCUCAGUAGCGGCGAGUGAAGCGGCAAGAGCUCAGAUUUGAAAUCGUGCUUUGCGGCACGAGUUGUAGAUUGCAGGUUGGAGUCUGUGUGGAAGGCGGUGUCCAAGUCCCUUGGAACAGGGCGCCCAGGAGGGUGAGAGCCCCGUGGGAUGCCGGCGGAAGCAGUGAGGCCCUUCUGACGAGUCGAGUUGUUUGGGAAUGCAGCUCCAAGCGGGUGGUAAAUUCCAUCUAAGGCUAAAUACUGGCGAGAGACCGAUAGCGAACAAGUACUGUGAAGGAAAGAUGAAAAGCACUUUGAAAAGAGAGUGAAACAGCACGUGAAAUUGUUGAAAGGGAAGGGUAUUGCGCCCGACAUGGGGAUUGCGCACCGCUGCCUCUCGUGGGCGGCGCUCUGGGCUUUCCCUGGGCCAGCAUCGGUUCUUGCUGCAGGAGAAGGGGUUCUGGAACGUGGCUCUUCGGAGUGUUAUAGCCAGGGCCAGAUGCUGCGUGCGGGGACCGAGGACUGCGGCCGUGUAGGUCACGGAUGCUGGCAGAACGGCGCAACACCGCCCGUCUUGAAACACGGACCUCCUGUGUGAAGGGGAUUCCGCUA
rnacentral:rRNA from 1 species